rnacentral:rRNA from 1 species
UACGUAGGGUGCAAGCGUUGUCCGGAAUUAUUGGGCGUAAAGAGCUCGUAGGCGGUUUGUCGCGUCUGCUGUGAAAACUCGGGGCUUAACUCCGGGCCUGCAGUGGGUACGGGCAGACUAGAGUGCGGAAGAGGCGAGUGGAAUUCCUGGUGUAGCGGUGAAAUGCGUAGAGAUCGGAAAGAACACCAACGGCGAAAGCACUCUGCUGGGCCGACACUGACACUGAGAGACGAAAGCUAGGGGAGCGAAUGGG